UACGUAGGUCCCGAGCGUUGUCCGGAUUUAUUGGGCGUAAAGCGAGCGCAGGUGGUUUAAUAAGUCUGAUGUAAAAGGCGGUGGCUCAACCAUUGUGUGCAUUGGAAACUGUUAGACUUGAGUGCAGUAGAGGAGAGUGGAAUUCCAUGUGUAGCGGUGAAAUGCGUAGAUAUAUGGAGGAACACCGGUGGCGAAAGCGGCUCUCUGGACUGUAACUGACACUGAGGCUCGAAAGCGAGGGUAGCAAACAGG
rnacentral:rRNA from 1 species